CAGACCGCCAGCUAAGGUCCCAAAUUACUACUAAGUGGGAAACGAUGUGGGAAGGCUCAGACAGCCAGGAUGUUGGCUUAGAAGCAGCCAUCAUUUAAAGAAAGCGUAAUAGCUCACUGGUCGAGUCGGCCUGCGCGGAAGAUGUAACGGGGCUAAGUAGUAAACCGAAGCUGCGGCAAUAUACUUUAGUAUAUUGGGUAGGGGAGCGUUCUGUAAGCGGUUGAAGGUGUGUGGUAACGCAUGCUGGACGUAUCAGAAGUGCGAAUGCUGACAUGAGUAACGAUAAAGGGGGUGAAAAACCUCCUCGCCGGAAGACCAAGGGUUCCUGUCCAACGUUAAUCGGGGCAGGGUAAGUCGACCCCUAAGGCGAGGCCGAAAGGCGUAGUCGAUGGGAAACGGGUUAAUAUUCCCGUACUUCUUACAAUUGCGAUGGGGGGACGGAGAAGGCUAGGUGGGCCUGGCGACGGUUGUCCAGGUUCAAGUGCGUAGGCUUAAGAGUUAGGUAAAUCCGGCUCUUUUUAAGGCUGAGACACGACGUCGAGCACCUACGGGUGUGAAGUCAUUGAUGCCAUGCUUCCAGGAAAAGCCUCUAAGCUUCAGAUUGUAAGGAAUCGUACCCCAAACCGACACAGGUGGUCGGGUAGAGAAUACCAAGGCGCUUGAGAGAACUCGGGUGAAGGAACUAGGCAAAAUGGUACCGUAACUUCGGGAGAAGGUACGCUCUCGACGGUGAAGUCCCUCGCGGAUGGAGCUAUUGAGAGUCGCAGAUACCAGGUGGCUGCAACUGUUUAUUAAAAACACAGCACUGUGCAAAAUCGUAAGAUGACGUAUACGGUGUGACGCCUGCCCGGUGCCGGAAGGUUAAUUGAUGGGGUUAGACUUCGGUCGAAGCUCUUGAUCGAAGCCCCGGUAAACGGCGGCCGUAACUAUAACGGUCCUAAGGUAGCGAAAUUCCUUGUCGGGUAAGUUCCGACCUGCACGAAUGGCGUAAUGAUGGCCACGCUGUCUCCACCCGAGACUCAGUGAAAUUGAAAUCGCUGUGAAGAUGCAGUGUACCCGCGGCUAGACGGAAAGACCCCGUGAACCUUUACUACAGCUUGGCACUGAACAUUGACCCUACAUGUGUAGGAUAGGUGGGAGGCUUUGAAGCACGUACGCCAGUAUGUGUGGAGCCGUCCUUGAAAUACCACCCUUGUAGUGUUGAUGUUCUAACGUCGACCCCUAAUCGGGGUUGCGGACAGUGCCUGGUGGGUAGUUUGACUGGGGCGGUCUCCUCCCAAAGAGUAACGGAGGAGCACGAAGGUGGGCUAAUCACGGUUGGACAUCGUGAGGUUAGUGCAAUGGCAUAAGCCCGCUUGACUGCGAGAAUGACAAUUCGAGCAGGUGCGAAAGCAGGUCAUAGUGAUCCGGUGGUUCUGAAUGGAAGGGCCAUCGCUCAACGGAUAAAAGGUACUCCGGGGAUAACAGGCUGAUACCGCCCAAGAGUUCAUAUCGACGGCGGUGUUUGGCACCUCGAUGUCGGCUCAUCACAUCCUGGGGCUGAAGUCGGUCCCAAGGGUAUGGCUGUUCGCCAUUUAAAGUGGUACGCGAGCUGGGUUUAGAACGUCGUGAGACAGUUCGGUCCCUAUCUGCCGUGGGCGUUGGAAGAUUGAAGGGGGCUGCUCCUAGUACGAGAGGACCGGAGUGGACGAACCUCUGGUGUUCGGGUUGUGUCGCCAGACGCAUUGCCCGGUAGCUAAGUUCGGAAUCGAUAACCGCUGAAAGCAUCUAAGCGGGAAGCGAGCCCUGAGAUGAGUCUUCCCUGAUACUUUAAGUAUCCUAAAGGGUUGUCGGAGACUACGACGUUGAUAGGUCAGGUGUGUAAGUGCUGUGAGGCAUUGAGCUAACUGAUACUAAUUGCCCGUGAGGCUUAACCAUACAACACCCAAGGGGUUU
rnacentral:rRNA from 1 species